UAGAGAACCGAGCCAUGAAAGACG
rnacentral:piRNA from 1 species